ACCUAAACCUGAUGGAAGCGGGCAUGCAAUAAAGCGGACAGCAGGGCAAACA
rnacentral:ncRNA from 2 species